AAACUAACAAGGAUUCCCCUAGUAACGGCGAGUGAACCGGGAAGAGCUCAAAUUUGAAAUCUGGCGUCCUCAGGGCGUCCGAGUUGUAAUCUAUAGAGGCGUUUUCCGCGCCGGACCGUGUAUAAGUCUCCUGGAACGGAGUAUCAAAGAGGGUGACAAUCCCGUGCUUUACACGACGACCGGUGCUAUGUGAUACGUCUUCUACGAGUCGAGUUGUUUGGGAAUGCAGCUCAAAACGGGUGGUAAACUCCAUCUAAAGCUAAAUAUUGGUGGGAGACCGAUAGCGAACAAGUACCGUGAGGGAAAGAUGAAAAGCACUUUGGAAAGAGAGUUAAACAGUAUGUGAAAUUGUUGAAAGGGAAACGAUUGAAGUCAGUCGUGUCCAUUGGGUUCAGCCGGUCCUGCCGGUCUACUCCCUUUGGACGGGUCAACAUCAGUUCUGACCGGUGGAUAAUGGCACGAGGAACGUAGCACCCUCCGGGGUGUGUUAUAGCCUCGCGUCGCAUACACUGGUCGGGACUGAGGAACGCAGCUCGCCCUCACGGGCCGGGGUUCGCCCACGUCCGAGCUAGGAGGUGAC
rnacentral:rRNA from 1 species